rnacentral:rRNA from 1 species
AUGGUUGUCGUCAGCUCGUGUCGUGAGAUGUUGGGUUAAGUCCCGCAACGAGCGCAACCCUUGUCGUUAGUUACUACCAUUAAGUUGAGGACUCUAGCGAGACUGCCUGGGUUAACCAGGAGGAAGGUGGGGAUGACGUCAAAUCAUCAUGCCCCUUAUGUGUAGGGCUACACACGUGCUACAAUGGCUGGUACAGAGAGAUGCAAUACCGCGAGGUGGAGCCAAACUUAAAAACCAGUCUCAGUUCGGAUUGUAGGCUGAAACUCGCCUACAUGAAGCUGGAGUUACUAGUAAUCGCGAAUCAGAAUGUCGCGGUGAAUACGUUCCCGGGUCUUGUACACACCGCCCGUCACACCAUGAGAGUUGGCAAUACCCGAAGUCCGUGAGCUAACCGCAAGGAGGCAGCGGCCGAAGGUAGGGUCAGCGAUUGGGGUGAAGUCGUAACAAGGUAGCCGUAGGAGAACCUGCGGCUGGAUCACCUCCUUUCUAAGGAA